CCUUGGUGGCUUAGCUGUCAAAAGCAGUGGGACGUAAACCCGAAGACCUGGGUUCGAAUCCCAGUCGAGUUCGA